rnacentral:lncRNA from 1 species
AUGAGGUCGCUGCGUGAUGGCAAUGGCAGGACCAUCUGGUUUCAGGGGGAGCCUGGACCUAUGGCCCCGAAAGGAGAAAAGUCCCGCAAGAGGCGUUCGCGGGUGAAUGCUGACCCUGAGCCUCCAAGUCCAAAGGCCACAAAGCCGGUGCCGAAGAGACGUUCGAAGGGUAGCAGCGGCCAAGAGAAGGUAGCAAAGCGAUCUGGCAGGAAGAAGGGGAAAGAGCUCGUCCAAGGAGCCGAGAACGCCAAGGCAAAUGAAGCAAGAAAGCCAAACGCCAGGUCCAGAAGGAAAGCAUCCGCAAGUCAAGGGUCUCCCAUGAACGAAGCUCCUGCUGCAGAUAGGAAGAGGCAGGCAUCUGCUCGGAGAAGCACAGGUUAGAAUGCUGCACUGGCUCCAACAUAAGCAUGGGAGGGGGAUAGGCCCAGAUGGCUUAUGCUGGUCAAGGUCCGUCUGGCAUUUUUUCAAAAGUAGAAUAAAAGAGCUAGUGUUCUGCA